ACCGAGUUGUUGCUGGUCCCCACAUGGGGGCAUGUGCACGCUCUGUUUACACAUCCACUCACACCUGUGCACCCUCUGUAGUUCUAUGGUCUGGGGGACCCUGUCUUCCUUCUGUGGUUCUGCAUCUUUACACACACACUGUAAUAAAGUCAUAUGGAAUGUACACCGCGUUUAACGCAAUACAAUACAACUUUCAGCAACGGAUCUCUUGGCUCUCGCAUCGAUGAAGAACGCAGCGAAAUGCGAUAAGUAAUGUGAAUUGCAGAAUUCAGUGAAUCAUCGAAUCUUUGAACGCACCUUGCGCCCCUUGGAUAUUCCGAUGGGCAUGCCUGUUUGAGUAUCAUGAACACCUCAACUCUCAUGGUUUGCCAUGAUGAGCUUGGACUUUGGGGGUUUUGCUGGCCUAUGGUCAGCUCCUCUCAAAUAAAUCAGCUUGCCAGUGUUUGGUGGCAUCACAGGUGUGAUAACUAUCUACGCUUGUUGUUGUACACCAGGUAACCUUCAGAGAUGGAGGUUCGCUGGAGCUCAUAGACGUCUCUCCUCAGUGAGGACAGCUUUUUUAACGUUCGAUCUCAAAUCAGGUAGGACUACCCGCUGAACUUAAGCAUAUCAAUAA
rnacentral:rRNA from 1 species